rnacentral:rRNA from 1 species
AUGGCUCGCAGAGGAGCCGUCGCCCCCGCCGCCACGAUGGAGAUGGAGUACCUGGACUGGAAGAAGUGCGCGCCCGUGCUCUACGACCUCGUCAUGUCCCAGCCGCUCGAGUUGCCCUCGCUCACCUUCCAGUGGCUCCUCUCAGAGUCGCCAGCCUCCACCCGCUCCCACAGCCUCGUCCUCGGCACCCACACCUCCGAUGACUCCCCCAACCACCUCAUGCUCGUCGACCCGUGCUCUAGCUCCUGCCGCCGAGGGCCGCACCGCCCCGUCAGUGUCCAUCGGUCACUCAGCGCCGCAUAA